UACGUAGGGUGCGAGCGUUAAUCGGAAUUACUGGGCGUAAAGCGUGCGCAGGCGGCGCGUUAAGACAGGUGUGAAAGCCCCGAGCUUAACUUGGGAAUUGCGCUUGUGACUGGCGUGCUGGAGUGUGGCAGAGGGAGGUGGAAUUCCACGUGUAGCAGUGAAAUGCGUAGAGAUGUGGAGGAACACCGAUGGCGAAGGCAGCCUCCUGGGCCAGCACUGACGCUCAUGCACGAAAGCGUGGGAGCAAACAGG
rnacentral:rRNA from 1 species